AUUCUCCUUCUGUUGCCUUAUUAUUACUUUUCAUGAAUUGAAGUCCACGCUCUGUCUUUGUCCUGGAGUUCAAACGCGUAAGAAAAACAGACCAACCAUGUAAGAGCUGAUCCGUAAGGCUAGGCAGCAGCAUUGUUUGAAGUCUUCUCUGUUGUUUGGCUUGUGUCUCUUUGUUAACUGGAUUCUGCAUUAAAUGACUGCCCCCUUGUU
rnacentral:lncRNA from 1 species